UGGUGAUGAUCUAACCAGCACCUGACUCGCCAGCCAUUUGGCCUUGGAGGGCUGGGCAGGGAGGAGGGCAGCUGGAUGGGGCGAUGGGGGAGCGGCUGUCACCCUGGCGGAGCCCUGUGGAGGAUUAUCCAAAGAGAUGAGACCUUGGAUGAAGCUCCUGUCAGCAGUUGAGUCUGAUCAAGCACUCUCUGCAUCUGCCAGCCAGCUUGGCACCGCCUCACCACAUGCUGCAGCUGGGCUCCAAUGGAUUUCAUAUGCAAGUUGUAGAAAUUCUGCUGAAAAGAAUGAUUUGUGUACUGCAUCUCCCACAAGAGUAACUUGGGAAAGUCAGGGGACUGUCUCCUACAUCUGGUUACUGUGUCACGUACCAUUCAUGCAAAUCUGAAAGCAACCAUCACAUGCAAAGUGAUGGAGGCACUUACCAAAAAGGAAAAAGAAAGAAAUCCUCCCCCGGAUGCUGGGCUUUAAAAGAAGAGAACUCACUGUUUUUCCCACCACAAUAUGC